rnacentral:lncRNA from 1 species
GCUUUCGAAGCUCGCGUUGGAUGUGCUAUCGGACGGGCUUCCCCUAGGCUUAUUUCACAAAGAUGCACUUUUAUUGACAUAAAAAUGUUGGGCAUAAGUCUAUUUCACAAAAUAAUUAGCUUAAAACAACAAAGUGUGUUCUGAACACUACUUUGAAUUAGGUCUAAAAACUACAGGAAUCUCUUCCACAGUCUAGUUGUUCAGAAC